CCCAUUGGCUGCGGCGCCGCGAACUGGGCCUGUCCUCUGGCACCGGGAGUCCGGGGUCUCCGUGCUGCCCACCCCGCACUGGGACUGUCGCCAGUGCAAGACAACCUUGGGCAGCUUCUGAACCUAGGCGGGUUCCUUUGCCUCCGGCCUCAGUUGUCUCAUCUGUAGAAUGGGAAGGAAACAGAUGCCUUCCUAAGGCUUUUUGGGAGGGUUGAACGAGUUAAUAGAAUAAAAAAAGUAUUCGGCAUGUCACCAGCAUGCCCCAUGCCUGCACAAUGCUGAGCCUGCUGACAAAGAGACAGCUCUAGUAAGCUGACUGAGGAAACCUAGUGAUCCCGGCUACACACACAGGUUCUGCCUGGGAACCCUUCCCCUCUGGAGGCCCACUUCAUAAGCUGAGAGGUUGGACAGAUCUCAUGGGCCAUGCUUCUCUAACCUCUCAGCUGGUCCAUAGAUAAUUGGACCUUACUACAGAUGAAGAAAACAGAGGCACACAGUGGUGGAGCCACAC